CAAGACAACUUUACGGAGUUGACGAUUGACGGAGCGAAGCGACGUCAAAGCGUUCAUUAAAGUCGAGUUGGCUUAGGGAUACGUUCGUUGGGUAGGGGAGCGUUCUGUAAGCCUGUGAAGGUGUGUCGUGAGGCAUGCUGGAGGUAUCAGAAGUGCGAAUGCUGACAUAAGUAACGAUAAAGCGGGUGAAAAGCCCGCUCGCCGGAAGACCAAGGGUUCCUGUCCAACGUUAAUCGGGGCAGGGUGAGUCGACCCCUAAGGCGAGGCCGAAAGGCGUAGUCGAUGGGAAACGGGUUAAUAUUCCCGUACUUGGUGUUACUGCGAAGGGGGGACGGAGAAGGCUAUGUUGGCCGGGCGACGGUUGUCCCGGUUUAAGCGUGUAGGUGUGUGUUCCAGGUAAAUCCGGUUCACUUUAACACUGAGGCGUGACGACGAGGCACUACGGUGCUGAAGCAACAAAUGCCCUGCUUCCAGGAAAAGCCUCUAAGCAUCAGGUAACACGAAAUCGUACCCCAAACCGACACAGGUGGUCAGGUAGAGAAUACCAAGGUGCUUGAGAGAACUCGGGUGAAGGAACUAGGCAAAAUGGUGCCGUAACUUCGGGAGAAGGCACGCUGACACGUAGGUGAAGUGAUUUACUCAUGGAGCUGAAGUCAGUCGAAGAUACCAGCUGGCUGCAACUGUUUAUUAAAAACACAGCACUGUGCAAACACGAAAGUGGACGUAUACGGUGUGACGCCUGCCCGGUGCCGGAAGGUUAAUUGAUGGGGUCAGCGCAAGCGAAGCUCCUGAUCGAAGCCCCGGUAAACGGCGGCCGUAACUAUAACGGUCCUAAGGUAGCGAAAUUCCUUGUCGGGUAAGUUCCGACCUGCACGAAUGGCGUAAUGAUGGCCAGGCUGUCUCCACCCGAGACUCAGUGAAAUUGAACUCGCUGUGAAGAUGCAGUGUACCCGCGGCAAGACGGAAAGACCCCGUGAACCUUUACUAUAGCUUGACACUGAACAUUGAGCCUUGAUGUGUAGGAUAGGUGGGAGGCUUUGAAGUGUGGACGCCAGUCUGCAUGGAGCCGACCUUGAAAUACCACCCUUUAAUGUUUGAUGUUCUAACGUGGACCCGUAAUCCGGGUUGCGGACAGUGUCUGGUGGGUAGUUUGACUGGGGCGGUCUCCUCCUAAAGAGUAACGGAGGAGCACGAAGGUUGGCUAAUCCUGGUCGGACAUCAGGAGGUUAGUGCAAUGGCAUAAGCCAGCUUGACUGCGAGCGUGACGGCGCGAGCAGGUGCGAAAGCAGGUCAUAGUGAUCCGGUGGUUCUGAAUGGAAGGGCCAUCGCUCAACGGAUAAAAGGUACUCCGGGGAUAACAGGCUGAUACCGCCCAAGAGUUCAUAUCGACGGCGGUGUUUGGCACCUCGAUGUCGGCUCAUCACAUCCUGGGGCUGAAGUAGGUCCCAAGGGUAUGGCUGUUCGCCAUUUAAAGUGGUACGCGAGCUGGGUUUAGAACGUCGUGAGACAGUUCGGUCCCUAUCUGCCGUGGGCGCUGGAGAACUGAGGGGGGCUGCUCCUAGUACGAGAGGACCGGAGUGGACGCAUCACUGGUGUUCGGGUUGUCAUGCCAAUGGCACUGCCCGGUAGCUAAAUGCGGAAGAGAUAAGUGCUGAAAGCAUCUAAGCACGAAACUUGCCCCGAGAUGAGUUCUC
rnacentral:rRNA from 1 species